rnacentral:rRNA from 1 species
AACGACUCUCGGCAACGGAUAUCUCGGCUCACGCAUCGAUGAAGAACGUAGCAAAAUGCGAUACUUGGUGUGAAUUGCAGAAUCCCGUGAACCAUCGAGUUUUUGAACGCAAGUUGCGCCCAAAGCCAUCAGGUUGAGGGCACGUCUGCCUGGGUGUCACGCA